AAUCAACCGUUAAAGUUGUUAAAAUUGCUCCCGUUGUUCCAUAAUUUUCCUUCUGUCUACUAUCGACAUGUGAAAGUUUUAAAACUAUUUUAAAGAUAGAUUCAAGUCAAUAUUUUGCCGAUUUAGGAGUAUUUCAGAUAAAAAGUUAAUUAGGUUCACUUGGAAGGUUCGCUACAACAGCCUUGCAGGGAAGUCUACCGCUUUAAGAUGGUGGCCGUUUACAAACGCCAACAUCUAGCUUUUUGAACAUGUGCUGCUAACGCCACAGAGUCUGUUAUUUUGCAUCUAGUCCUAUUAAAUAUAUUUACCGUACCAUUACGUGGACGUAGUUUGUAGCAGCUGUCGGCAGCAGUCAGGUAUAUUGUUUUUUUUUUAUCUCGCGGUAUGAGUUGUCAUUACCCGAGGGGCCGGGUAAUGACAAGCAUGACGUUUAGCUACUCUCGUUCCGUUCCUCAUUGCGUCCCAAAGACCGCGCCGGUGCACCGAGUGUGUUUUACUUCCACUCUACUUGACAUACUUCAAUAAUGGGAAUUUGGAUGUUUGUGAAUCGUUCUCGAAUCUUCCACGGCCGAAUCGCGAAUAAUCUAAGAAUAGGAAAUUUCGCACACCUCUACUUGGCGCACCCCUGAAAAUCUCAACCCUCUCCAGGCUGCUUUACAGUACAGUAACACACAGAGCUGUGUCCGCGUCAAGGGCCACGACUCUGACUGGUUUUCCAUCUCCAGUGGUGUCCGCCAAGGCUGCGUAGCUACUCCAGACCUUUUUCAUUGCAUAAUCGACAACCUGAUGUGCAGAGUCUGUGAGCGAGUGUGAGUGGCCCUUGGGAACUACCAACUGACCGACCUGGAGUAUGCUGACGACAACACCUUGCUCAGCACCUCCUACAACCAGCAAAGGGACGCGCUGAGUAUAUACAGCGAAGAGGCAGAAAAGCUUGGUCUCCACGUGAACUGUACCAAGACCAAGUUCAUACAUGUCGGUGAGCCCUGGCGGCCCCUGCCCAGCAGUCUCUCUGGAAACCACUCUGGCGGCACCAAGCCAUCUCCCGGAAGACGAAGCUCCGAAUCUACAACACCGCCAUACUCUCUAUUCUCCUCUAUGGCUCUGAAACAUGGCCCUUAAACAAGACACUGGCCACAAGAAUAGACGGCUUUGACAGCAGGGCUCUCAGGACCAUCGAGAACAUCAGGUGGCCCCAGCAAAUCUCUAAUGAAAUCCUGCAAGCCCGGACAUAUCAACCCGCCUGGCUGCACAGCGUCCCAUCCGCUGGCUCAGCCAUGUUCUUCGUCAUCCUCCUGACCACCCGACAAGAGUCAUCCUGGAGUUUGACCCAAAGGCUGAAGACGACCACGAGGAAAGCCCUGCACUCGAUGGCUUGACACCAUCAAGGACAACCUCCAACAACACGGAGUUACCCUGAACGAUGCAAAUCUGCUGGCACAAGACCACCAGUACUGGAGGAGCCUAGCUCACCUGGUCCGAUCUACGCAGUGGGACAGGAAACCAGCCCCAACGCAGGAGCCGUGAUUAUGAUGAUGAUGUAACACUAUACCCGGGGUCAGCACCCCACGGCUCUGGAGUCGAAUGCGGCUCUUUAGCGCUGCCCUAGUGGUUCCCUGGAGCUUUUUCAAAAAUGUUUGAAAAUGUAAAAAGAUGAGGGAGGGAAAUAUACGUUUUGUUUUACUAUGGUUUCUGUAGGAGGGCAAAUAUAAUUCUAAUUAAUUAAUAUUGUCAUGAAGUUGAGGCGACAUCGUACAACAAAGUUGUCACGUGGCGCGUCAUUCUCUAUAGACCCUACUCACCAACGUCACAGAAUGACGUGUCGCUGUAUCCGGCCGCCAUAUUGUCCGUCUUUGUUUAUCCGUAUUCUCAAUGGUUUCAAUUUGUCGUGCAAUUUAUAGUGCAAUUCAUGGAAGCCCCGGUGCUUUCAGACGCUGUAAACUCAUUGGAUGCGUUGCAUAAAAGGCGUUAUGUGGAAAAGCUUCAGUCUAUCUAUUCGGCAGAUCCAUAUUUGAUGCCUAAAUUGAUAUUUUUCGACCCGCUUUCUUCGCCCUCUCUGCCUGACAUCUGCUACCCUGACAGCUACAACUAUCUUUUCCACAGAAACUCGGCCUAUUCUCACGAAACUUUGAAAAACAUUAAGAGCAGCACUGUAAGCAACAUUACUCUGUGUGAUUUCUAAAAUGGUGACAAUAAAAAAAAAAAAAUUAAAAAAAAUAAGUUAACUGCGAUGCCGACGCUUCAAGGAUAGGUAGAUAUUGGACUAUUUCUUCAAUAAAACACGCAACAACUGUGUCUGCCUCAUUUGCAAAGAGACAGUCGCUGUUUUCAAAGAGUUCGAUGUGACGCGAUAAUGAUAUUACCGAACAAGACACGCUGACAGGUACGACAACAUUACAGGGAAGAUACGCAGCGAGAAAUUAUAGCAACUUGAAGCUAGUUUAAUUUCACAGCAGCAGUAUUUCGCAAGAGCCCGAGUGUCGAAAGAGAACGCCACAAAGACGAGACUGUUGAAAU